GGCUUGGUAAUUGGAAUGAGGGAGAGUUAAACGGACCAUCGAGUAUCCAUUGGAGGGCAAGUCUGGUGCCAGCAGCUGCGGUAAUACCAGCUCCAAUAGCGUAUAUUAAAUUUGUUGCAGUUAAAAAGCUCGUAGUUGGACUUGUGUGCGCUGUCCGCGGGUGGCCUGCGCCCAAAAGGGCGUUUCGGUUCGGCCCCGGUGGCGCCUUGAAAUCUGCAGCUGGGGGGACGUUGGCCUUAACUGGUCGGCGACCGCACGCCGGCUGCUCGGUUACUGUGAGAAAAUUAGAGUGUUCAAGGCAGGCAUUGGGUGCAAUUGAAUACAUUAGCAUGGAAUAAUAAAAUAUGGCUCCUGCCGUAUUUUGUUGGUUUUGACUGGUGGGAGUAAUGAUUGAUAGGGACGGUUGGGGGUGCUAGUAUUGAGCGGCCAGAGGUGAAAUUCAUGGAUUCGCUCAAGACUAACUUAUGCGAAAGCAUUCACCAAGGACGUCCUCUUUAAUCAAGAACGAAAGUUGGGGGAUCGAAGACGAUCAGAUACCGUCGUAGUCUCAACCAUAAACUAUGUCGACUUGGGAUCGGCGGUAGUUUUUUCAUUAAGACACUGUCGGGACCACGGGAGAAAUCAAAGUGUCUGGACUCUGGGGGAAGUAUGGUCGCAAGGCUGAAACUUGAAGGAAUUGACGGAAGGGCACCACCAGGAGUGGAGCCUGCGGCUUAAUUUGACAACACGGGGAAACUUACCAGGUCCAGAGAUGUAGAGGAUUGACAGAUUGAAGCUCUUUCUUGAUCACUUCGGUGGUGGUGCAUGGCCGUUCUUAGUUGGUGGAGUGAUUUGUCUGGUUAAUUCCGUUAACGAACGAGACCUCAGCCUGCUAGUGUAGUCGGCUGGAUUGCCUUUGGCGAUCCGUGAUUUCGACUUCUUAGAGGGACAAUCGACGCGCAGUCGAUGGAAGUUUGAGGCAAUAACAGGUCUGUGAUGCCCUUAGAUGUUCUGGGCCGCACGCGCGCUACACUGCUGGGCUCAGCGAGUUUUACUUGGCCGAGAGGCCCGGUUAAUCUUGUGAAAUCCCAGCGUGCUUGGGCUCGCCUCCUGCAACUGGAGGCGCCAACGAGGAAUUCCUAGUAGACGCAGGUCAUCAACCUGCAUCGAUUACGUCCCUGCCCUUUGUACACACCGCCCGUCGUUCCAUAAGAGUGAGGCAUCCGGUGAAUUCUCGGGAGAGCCUGGGCGUGGCCAGCAAUGGUCUGCUCGGGUUUGAACUUGCAUAAACUUGG
rnacentral:rRNA from 1 species